rnacentral:rRNA from 1 species
CGGGUGAGUAACGCGUGGAUAACCUGCCUCACACUGGGGGAUAACAGUUAGAAAUGACUGCUAAUACCGCAUAAGCGCACAGUACCGCAUGGUACAGUGUGAAAAACUCCGGUGGUGUGAGAUGGAUCCGCGUCUGAUUAGCCAGUUGGCGGGUAACGGCCCACCAAAGCGACGAUCAGUAGCCGACCUGAGAGGGUGACCGGCCACAUUGGGGCUGAGACACGGCCCAA